CAUGCAAGUCGAGCGCGAAAGUGGCCUUCGGGCCGCGAGUAGAGCGGCGAACGGGUGAGUAACACGUGGGUAACCUACCCUGGAGCGGGGAACAACUUGGGGAAACCCGAGCUAAUACCGCAUGAGCUCGCCGGCCCUUCGGUGCCGGCGAGGAAAGGUGGCCAAUUCUUGAAAGCUGCCGCUCCAGGAGGGGCCCGCGUCCGAUUAGCUAGUUGGUGGGGUAACGGCUCACCAAGGCUGCGAUCGGUAGCCGGCCUGAGAGGGCGAUCGGCCACACUGGAACUGAGACACGGUCCAGACCGCUACGGUGGGCAGCAGUACGGGAUAUUGCGCAAUGGGCGAAAGCCUGACGCAGCAACGCCGCGUGAAGGAUGAAGGCCUUCGGGUUGUAAACUUCUGUCAGGCGGGACGAACGAGCGGCGGUGAACAGCCGCCGUCUCUUGACGGUACCGCCGAAGGAAGCCCCGGCUAACUCCGUGCCAGCAGCCGCGGUAAUACGGAGGGGGCAAGCGUUAUUCGGAAUUAUUGGGCGUAAAGGGCGUGUAGGCGGCUUGAUAAGCCAAAGGUGAAAUCCCUCAGCUCAACUGAGGAACUGCCUUUGGAACUGUCUCGCUAGAGGCCAGGAGAGGGUAGCGGAAUUCCCAGUGUAGCGGUGAAAUGCGUAGAUAUUGGGAGGAACACCAGUGGCGAAGGCGGCCUACCUGGACUGGUACUGACG
rnacentral:rRNA from 1 species